rnacentral:tRNA from 1 species
GGCCACGUGGCCUCAUGGGUAAGGCGUCUGAUACCAGAUCAGAAGACUGAGGCUUCAAGUCCCUUCGUGGUUG